rnacentral:rRNA from 1 species
GUGGGGAAUAUUGGGCAAUGGGCGAAAGCCUGACCCAGCAACGCCGCGUGAAGGAAGAAGGUUUUCUGAUCGUAAACUUCUAUCCUUGGUGAAGAUAAUGACGGUAGCCAAGAAGGAAGCCCCGGCUAACUACGUGCCAGCAGCCGCGGUAAUACGUAGGGGGCAAGCGUUGUCCGGAAUGAUUGGGCGUAAAGGGCGCGUAGGCGGCCUGGUAAGUCUGGAGUGAAAGUCCUGCUUUUAAGGUGGGAAUUGCUUUGGAUACUGUCGGGCUUGAGUGCAGGAGAGGUAAGUGGAAUUCCCGGUGUAGCGGUGAAAUGCGUAGAGAUCGGGAGGAACACCAGUGGCGAAGGCGACUUACUGGACUGUAACUGACGCUGAGGCGCGAAAGUGUGGGGAGCAAACAGGAUUAGAAACCCCUGUAGUCC